GGGCCUAUAGUUUAAUGGUAGAAUGACUCGUUUGCAAUGAGUAGAUGGCAGUUCGAUUCUGCCUAGGUCCACCA
rnacentral:tRNA from 1 species